UUCCACCAUUGAAAAUUGACAAAAAAAAAAAAAGAAAUUUCUUUUUUCGACCAAAGUCGGGAAAAAUGAAGAAAUUACGCUUACGUCCUAUUGUUCGAUUUGAUCGCUAGUACUUUUGUUUUAACAUUAAACAACCAAAAGGUUGUUCUAAUAACUAAAUUAAAGUCUAUUUUGAGUUCAAUUGACUUUUUGUGAACGAAUUACGACGAUUCGUCUUUUCGGCCUAAUUUUUAGCUGCACAAAAAACUGUUUUCGAUCAGAUUUUUUUCGAUGUCAUAAUAAUCGUAUCGAAAUUCUGGUUCGUUUCAUAUAAUUCUUUUUAGAUAUCUUGAUUUCGGAGCACUCCCUCCAAUCCAUUCGGUUACUCAUAAUUGUACCGAAAAUCAAGUUAAACCCCUAAUCUUUUGAAUAUUUCAAUUACACUUCCAAAUAAAACUACACUUAAAACCAUAUGAAAUUAUCUUCAUUCCACCAUUGAAAAUUGACAAAAAAAAAAAGAAAUUUCUUUUUUCGGCCAAAGUCGGGAAAAAUGAAGAAAUUACGCUUACGUCCUAUUGUUCGAUUUGAUCGCUAGUACUUUUGUUUCAACAUUAAAGAACCAAAAGAUUGUUCUAAUAACUAAAUUAAAGUGUAUUUUGUGUUCAAUUGACUUUUUGUGAACGAAUUACGACGAUUCGUGUUUUCGGCCUGAUUUUUAGCUGCACAAGAAACUGUUUCCGAUCAGAUCUUUUUCGAUGUCAUAAUAAUCGUAUCGAAAUUCUGGUUUGUUUCAUAUAAUUGUUUUUAGAUAUCUUGAUUUCGGAGCACUCCCUCCAAUCCAUUCGGUUACUCAUAAUUGUACCGAAAAUCAAGUUAAACCCCUAAUCUUUUGAAUAUUUCAAUUACACUUCCAAAUAAAACUACACUUAAAACCAUAUGAAAUUAUCUUCAUUCCACCAAUGAAAAAUGACAAAAAAAAAAAAGAAAUUUCUUUUUUCGACCAAAGUCGGGAAAAAUGAAGAAAUUACGCUUACGUCCUAUUGUUCGAUUUGAUCGCUAGUACUUUUGUUUCAACAUUAAAGAACCAAAAGGUUGUUCUAAUAACUAAAUUAAAGUGUAUUUUGUGUUCAAUUGACUUUUUGUGAACGAAUUACGACGAUUUGUGUUUUCGGCCUGAUUUUUACCAGCACAAAAAACUGUUUCCGAUCAGAUUUUUUUCGAUGUCAUAAUAAUCGUAUCGAAAUUCUGGUUCGUUUCAUAUAAUUGUUUUUAGAUAUCUUGAUUUCGGAGCACUCCCUCCAAUCCAUUCGGUUACUCAUAAUUGUACCGAAAAUCAAGUUAAACCCCUAAUCUUUUGAAUAUUUCAAUCACACUUCCAAACAAAACUACACUUAAAACCAUACGAAAUUAUCUUCAUUCCACCAUUGAAAAUUGACAAAAAAAAAAAGAAAUUCCUUUUUUCGACGAAUGUCGGGAAAAAUGAAGAAAUUACGCUUACGUCCUAUUGUUCGAUUUGAUCGCUAGUACUUUUGUUUCAACAUUAAACAAUCAAAAGGUUGUUCUAAUAACUAAAUUAAAGUGUAUUUUGUGUUCAAUUGACUUUUUGUGAACGAAUUACGACGAUUCGUGUUUUCGGCCUGAUUUUUAGCUGCACAAGAAACUGUUUCCGAUCAGAUCUUUUUCGAUGUCAUAAUAAUCGUAUCGAAAUUCUGGUUUAUUUCAUAUAAUUGUUUUUAGAUAUCUUGAUUUCGGAGCACUCCCUCCAAUCCAUUCGGUUACUCAUAAUUGUACCGAAAAUCAAGUUAAACCCCUAAUCUUUUGAAUAUUUCAAUUACACUUCCAAAUAAAACUACACUUAAAACCAUAUGAAAUUAUCUUCAUUCCACCAUUGAAAAUUGACAAAAAAAAAAAGAAAUUUCUUUUUUCGACCGAAGUCGGGAAAAAUGAAGAAAUUACGCUUACGUCCUAUUGUUCGAUUUGAUCGCUAGUACUUUUGUUUCAACAUUAAACAACCAAAAGGUUGUUCUAAUAACUAAAUUAAAGUGUAUUUUAAGUUCAAUUGACUUUUUGUGAACGAAUUACAACGAUUCGUCUUUUCGGCCUGAUUUUUAGCUGCACAAAAAACUGUUUCCGAUCAGAUUUUUUUCGAUGUCAUAAUAAUCGUAUCGAAAUUCUGGUUCGUUUCAUAUAAUUGUUUUUAGAUAUCUUGAUUUCGGAGCACUCCCUCCAAUCCAUUCGGUUACUCAUAAUUGUACCGAAAAUCAAGUUAAACCCCUAAUCUUUUGAAUAUUUCAAUUACACUUCCAAAUAAAACUACACUUAAAAGCAUAUGAAAUUAUCUUCAUUCCACCAUUGAAAAUUAACAAAAAAAAAAAAAAAAGAAAUUUCUUUUUUCGACCAAAGUCGGGAAAAAUGAAGAAAUUAAGCUUACGUCCUAUUGUUCGAUUUGAUCGCUAGUACUUUUGUUUCAACGUUAAACAAUCAAAAGGUUGUUCUAAUAACUAAAUUAAAGUGUAUUUUAAGUUCAAUUGACUUUUUGUGAACGAAUUACAACGAUUCGUCUUUUCGGCCUGAUUUUUAUCUGCACAAAAAACUGUUUCCGAUCAGAUUUUUUUCGAUGUCAUAAUAAUCGUAUCGAAAUUCUGGUUCGUUUCAUAUAAUUGUUUUUAGAUAUCUUGAUCUCGGAGCACUCCCUCCAAUCCAUUCGGUUACUCAUUAUUGUACCGAAAAUCAAGUUAAACCCCUAAUCUUUAGAAUAUUUCAAUUACACUUCCAAAUAAAAGUACACUUAAAAGCAUAUGAAAUUAUCUUCAUUCCACCAUUGAAAAUUGACAAAAAAAAAAAAAAGAAAUUUCUUUUUUCGACCAAAGUCGGGAAAAAUGAAGAAAAUACGCUUACGUCGUAUUGUUCGAUUUGAUCGCUUGUACUUUUGUUUCAACAUUAAAGAACCAAAAGGUUGUUCUAAUAACUAAAUUAAAGUGUAUUUUGAGUUCAAUUGACUUUUUGUGAACGACUUACGACGAUUCGUGUUUUCGGCCUGAUUUUUAGCUGCACAAAAAACUGUUUCCGAUCAGAUUUUUUUCGAUGUCAUAAUAAUCGUAUCGAAAUUCUGGUUCGUUUCAUAUAAUUGUUUUUAGAUAUCUUGAUUUCGGAGCACUCCCUCCAAUCCAUUCGGUUACUCAUAAUUGUACCGAAAAUCAAGUUAAACCCCUAAUCUUUUGAAUAUUUCAAUUACACUUCCAAAUAAAACUACACUUAAAAGCAUAUGAAAUUAUCUUCAUUCCACCAUUGAAAAUUAACAAAAAAAAAAAAAAAAGAAAUUUCUUUUUUCGACCAAAGUCGGGAAAAAUGAAGAAAAUACGCUUACGUCCUAUUGUUCGAUUUGAUCGCUUGUACUUUUGUUUCAACAUUAAAGAACCAAAAGGUUGUUCUAAUAACUAAAUUAAAGUGUAUUUUGAGUUCAAUUGACUUUUUGUGAACGAAUUACGACGAUUCGUGUUUUCGGCCUGAUUUUUAGCAGCACAAAAAACUGUUUCCGAUCAGAUUUUUUUCGAUGUCAUAAUAAUCGUAUCGAAAUUCUGGUUCGUUUCAUAUAAUUGUUUUUAGAUAUCUUGAUUUCGGAGCACUCCCUCCAAUCCAUUCGGUUACUCAUAAUUGUACCGAAAAUCAAGUUAAACCCCUAAUCUUUUGAAUAUUUCAAUUACACUUCCAAACAAAACUACACUUAAAACCAUAUGAAAUUAUCUUCAUUCCACCAUUGGAAAUUGACCAAAAAAAAAAGAAAUUUCUUUUUUCGACGAAUGUCGGGAAAAAUGAAGAAAUUACGCUUACGUCCUAUUGUUCGAUUUGAUCGCUAGUACUUUUGUUUCAACAUUAAACAAUCAAAAGGUUGUUCUAAUAACUAAAUUAAAGUGUAUUUUGAGUUCAAUUGACUUUUUGUGAACGAAUUACGACGAUUCGUCUUUUCGUCCUGAUUUUUAGCUGCACAAAAAACUGUUUCCGUUCAGAUUUUUUUCGAUGUCAUAAUAAUCGUAUCGAAAUUCUGGUUCGUUUCAUAUAAUUGUUUUUAGAUAUCUUGAUUUCGGAGCACUCCCUCCAAUCCAUUCGGUUACUCAUAAUUGUACCGAAAAUCAAGUUAAACCCCUAAUCUUUUGAAUAUUUCAAUUACACUUCCAAAUAAAACUACACUUAAAACCAUAUGAAAUUAUCUUCAUUCCACCAUUGAAAAUUGACCAAAAAAAAAGAAAUUUCUUUUUUCGACCAAAGUCGGGAAAAAUGAAGAAAUUACGCUUACGUCCUAUUGUUCGAUUUGAUCGCUAGUACUUUUGUUUCAACAUUAAAGAACCAAAAGGUUGUUCUAAUAACUAAAUUAAAGUGUAUUUUGUGUUCAAUUGACUUUUUGUGAACGAAUUACGACGAUUCGACUUUUCUGCCUGAUUUUUAGCUGCACAAAAAACUGUUUCGGAUCAGAUUUUUUUCGAUGUCAUAAUAAUCGUAUCGAAAUUCUGGUUCUUUUCAUAUAAUUGUUUUUAGAUAUCUUGAUUUCGGAGCACUCCCUCCAAUCCAUUCGGUUACUCAUAAUUGUACCGAAAAUCAAGUUAAUCCCCUAAUCUUUUGAAUAUUUCAAUUACACUUCCAAACAAAACUACACUUAAAAACCAUAUGAAAUUAUCUUCAUUCCACCAUUGAAAAUUGACCAAAAAAAAAAGAAAUUUCUUUUUUCGACCAAAGUCGGGAAAAAUGAAGAAAUUACGCUUACGUCCUAUUGUUCGAUUUGAUCGCUAGUACUUUUGUUUCAACAUUAAAGAACCAAAAGGUUGUUCUAAUAACUAAAUUAAAGUGUAUUUUGAGUUCAAUUGACUUUUUGUGAACGAAUUACGACGAUUCGUCUUUUCGUCCUGAUUUUUAGCUGCACAAAAAACUGUUUCCGUUCAGAUUUUUUUCGAUGUCAUAAUAAUCGUAUCGAAAUUCUGGUUCGUUUCAUAUAAUUGUUUUUAGAUAUCUUGAUUUCGGAGCACUCCCUCCAAUCCAUUCGGUUACUCAUAAUUGUACCGAAAAUCAAGUUAAACCCCUAAUCUUUUGAAUAUUUCAAUUACACUUCCAAAUAAAACUACACUUAAAACCAUAUGAAAUUAUCUUCAUUCCACCAUUGAAAAUUGACCAAAAAAAAAGAAAUUUCUUUUUUCGACCAAAGUCGGGAAAAAUGAAGAAAUUACGCUUACGUCCUAUUGUUCGAUUUGAUCGCUAGUACUUUUGUUUCAACAUUAAAGAACCAAAAGGUUGUUCUAAUAACUAAAUUAAAGUGUAUUUUGUGUUCAAUUGACUUUUUGUGAACGAAUUACGACGAUUCGACUUUUCUGCCUGAUUUUUAGCUGCACAAAAAACUGUUUCGGAUCAGAUUUUUUUCGAUGUCAUAAUAAUCGUAUCGAAAUUCUGGUUCGUUUCAUAUAAUUGUUUUUAGAUAUCUUGAUUUCGGAGCACUCCCUCCAAUCCAUUCGGUUACUCAUAAUUGUACCGAAAAUCAAGUUAAUCCCCUAAUCUUUUGAAUAUUUCAAUUACACUUCCAAACAAAACUACACUUAAAACCAUACGAAAUUAUCUUCAUUCCACCAUUGAAAAUUGACAAAAAAAAAAAGAAAUUUCUUUUUUCGACGAAUGUCGGGAAAAAUGAAGAAAUUACGCUUACGUCCUAUUGUUCGAUUUGAUCGCUAGUACUUUUGUUUCAACGUUAAACAAUCAAAAGGUUGUUCUAAUAACUAAAUUAAAGUGUAAUUUAAGUUCAAUUGACUUUUUGUGAACGAAUUACGACGAUUCGUCUUUUCGGCCUGAUUUUUAGCCGCACAAAAAACUGUUUCCGAUCAGAUUUUUUUCGAUGUCAUAAUAAUCGUAUCGAAAUUCUGGUUCGUUUCAAACAAUUGUUUUUAGAUAUCUUGAUUUCGGAGCACUCCCUCCAAUCCAUUCGGUUACUCAUUAUUGUACCGAAAAUCAAGUUAAACCCCUAAUCUUUAGAAUAUUUCAAUUACACUUCCAAAUAAAAGUACACUUAAAACCAUAUGAAAUUAUCUUCAUUCCACCUUUGAAAAUUGACAAAAAAAAAAAAAGAAAUUUCUUUUUUCGACCAAAGUCGGGAAAAAUGAAGAAAAUACGCUUACGUCGUAUUGUUCGAUUUGAUCGCUUGUACUUUUGUUUCAACAUUAAAAAACCAAAGGGUUGUUCUAAUAACUAAAUUAAAGUGUAUUUUGAGUUCAAUUGACUUUUUGUGAACGACUUACGACGAUUCGUGUUUUCGGCCUGAUUUUUAGCUGCACAAAAAACUGUUUCCGAUCAGAUUUUUUUCGAUGUCAUAAUAAUCGUAUCGAAAUUUUGGUUCGUUUCAUAUAAUUGUUUUUAGAUAUCUUGAUUUCAGAGCACUCCCUCCAAUCCAUUCGGUUACUCAUAAUUGUACCGAAAAUCAAGUUAAACCCCUAAUCUUUUGAAUAUUUCAAUUACACUUCCAAAUAAAACUACACUUAAAAGCAUAUGAAAUUAUCUUCAUUCCACCAUUGAAAAUUGACAAAAAAAAAAAAAAAAGAAAUUUCUUUUUUCGACCAAAGUCGGGAAAAAUGAAGAAAAUACGCUUACGUCCUAUUGUUCGAUUUGAUCGCUUGUACUUUUGUUUCAACAUUAAAGAACCAAAAGGUUGUUCUAAUAACUAAAUUAAAGUGUAUUUUGUGUUCAAUUGACUUUUUGUGAACGAAUUACGACGAUUCGACUUUUCUGCCUGAUUUUUAGCUGCACAAAAAACUGUUUCCGAUCAGAUUUUUUUCGAUGUCAUAAUAAUCGUAUCGAAAUUCUGGUUCGUUUCAUAUAAUUGUUUUUAGAUAUCUUGAUUUCGGAGCACUCCCUCCAAUCCAUUCGGUUACUCAUAAUUGUACCGAAAAUCAAGUUAAUCCCCUAAUCUUUUGAAUAUUUCAAUUACACUUUCAAACAAAACUACACUUAAAACCAUAUGAAAUUAUCUUCAUUCCACCAUUGAAAAUUGACCAAAAAAAAAAGAAAUUUCUUUUUUCGACCAAAGUCGGGAAAAAUGAAGAAAUUACGCUUACGUCCUAUUGUUCGAUUUGAUCGCUAGUACUUUUGUUUCAACGUUAAACAAUCAAAAGGUUGUUCUAAUAACUAAAUUAAAGUGUAUUUUAAGUUCAAUUGACUUUUUGUGAACGAAUUACAACGAUUCGUCUUUUCGGCCUGAUUUUUAUCUGCACAAAAACUGUUUCCGAUCAGAUUUUUUUCGAUGUCAUAAUAAUCGUAUCGAAAUUCUGGUUCGUUUCAUAUAAUUGUUUUUAGAUAUCUUGAUCUCGGAGCACUCCCUCCAAUCCAUUCGGUUACUCAUUAUUGUACCGAAAAUCAAGUUAAACCCCUAAUCUUUAGAAUAUUUCAAUUACACUUCCAAAUAAAAGUACACUUAAAAGCAUAUGAAAUUAUCUUCAUUCCACCAUUGAAAAUUGACAAAAAAAAAAAAAAGAAAUUUCUUUUUUCGACCAAAGUCGGGAAAAAUGAAGAAAAUACGCUUACGUCGUAUUGUUCGAUUUGAUCGCUUGUACUUUUGUUUCAACAUUAAAGAACCAAAAGGUUGUUCUAAUAAAUAAAUUAAAGUGUAUUUUGAGUUCAAUUGACUUUUUGUGAACGAAUUACGACGAUUCGUGUUUUCGGCCUGAUUUUUAGCUGCACAAAAAACUGUUUCCGAUCAGAUUUUUUUCGAUGUCAUAAUAAUCGUAUCGAAAUUCUGGUUCGUUUCAUAUAAUUGUUUUUAGAUAUCUUGAUUUCGGAGCACUCCCUCCAAUCCAUUCGGUUACUCAUAAUUGUACCGAAAAUCAAGUUAAACCCCUAAUCUUUUGAAUAUUUCAAUUACACUUCCAAAUAAAACUACACUUAAAACCAUAUGAAAUUAUCUUCAUUCCACCAUUGAAAAUUGACCAAAAAAAAAGAAAUUUCUUUUUUCGACCAAAGUCGGGAAAAAUGAAGAAAUUACGCUUACGUCCUAUUGUUCGAUUUGAUCGCUAGUACUUUUGUUUCAACAUUAAAGAACCAAAAGGUUGUUCUAAUAACUAAAUUAAAGUGUAUUUUGAGUUCAAUUGACUUUUUGUGAACGAAUUACGACGAUUCGUGUUUUCGGCCUGAUUUUUAGCUGCACAAAAAACUGUUUCCGAUCAGAUUUUUUUCGAUGUCAUAAUAAUCGUAUCGAAAUUCUGGUUCGUUUCAUAUAAUUGUUUUUAGAUAUCUUGAUUUCGGAGCACUCCCUCCAAUCCAUUCGGUUACUCAUAAUUGUACCGAAAAUCAAGUUAAACCCCUAAUCUUUUGAAUAUUUCAAUUACACUUCCAAAUAAAACUACACUUAAAACCAUAUGAAAUUAUCUUCAUUCCACCAUUGAAAAUUGACAAAAAAAAAAAGAAAUUUCUUUUUUCGACCAAAGUCGGGAAAAAUGAAGAAAUUACGCUUACGUCCUAUUGUUCGAUUUGAUCGCUAGUACUUUUGUUUCAACAUUAAACAAUCAAAAGGUUGUUCUAAUAACUAAAUUAAAGUGUAUUUUGAGUUCAAUUGACUUUUUGUGAACGAAUUACGACGAUUCGUCUUUUCGGCCUGAUUUUUAGCUGCACAAAAAACUGUUUCCGAUCAGAUUUUUUUCGAUGUCAUAAUAAUCGUAUCGAAAUUCUGGUUCGUUUCAUAUAAUUGUUUUUAGAUAUCUUGAUUUCGGAGCACUCCCUCCAAUCCAUUCGGUUACUCAUAAUUGUACCGAAAAUCAAGUUAAACCCCUAAUCUUUUGAAUAUUUCAAUUACACUUCCAAAUAAAACUACACUUAAAACCAUAUGAAAUUAUCUUCAUUCCACCAUUGAAAAUUGACAAAAAAAAAAAGAAAUUUCUUUUUUCGACCAAAGUCGGGAAAAAUGAAGAAAUUACGCUUACGUCCUAUUGUUCGAUUUGAUCGCUAGUACUUUUGUUUCAACAUUAAACAACCAAAAGGUUGUUCUAAUAACUAAAUUAAAGUGUAUUUUGAGUUCAAUUGACUUUUUGUGAACGAAUUACGACGAUUCGUCUUUUCGUCCUGAUUUUUAGCUGCACAAAAAACUGUUUCCGAUCAGAUUUUUUUCGAUGUCAUAAUAAUCGUAUCGAAAUUCUGGUUCGUUUCAUAUAAUUGUUUUUAGAUAUCUUGAUUUCGGAGCACUCCCUCCAAUCCAUUCGGUUACUCAUAAUUGUACCGAAAAUCAAGUUAAACCCCUAAUCUUUUGAAUAUUUCAAUUACACUUCCAAAUAAAACUACACUUAAAACCAUAUGAAAUUAUCUUCAUUCCACCAUUGAAAAUUGACAAAAAAAAAAAGAAAUUUCUUUUUUCGACCAAAGUCGGGAAAAAUGAAGAAAUUACGCUUACGUCCUAUUGUUCGAUUUGAUCGCUAGUACUUUUGUUUCAACAUUAAACAACCAAAAGGUUGUUCUAAUAACUAAAUUAAAGUGUAUUUUGAGUUCAAUUGACUUUUUGUGAACGAAUUACGACGAUUCGUCUUUUCGGCCUGAUUUUUAGCUGCACAAAAAACUGUUUCCGAUCAGAUUUUUUUCGAUGUCAUAAUAAUCGUAUCGAAAUUCUGGUUCGUUUCAUAUAAUUGUUUUUAGAUAUCUUGAUUUCGGAGCACUCCCUCCAAUCCAUUCGGUUACUCAUAAUUGUACCGAAAAUCAAGUUAAACCCCUAAUCUUUUGAAUAUUUCAAUUACACUUCCAAAUAAAACUACACUUAAAACCAUAUGAAAUUAUCUUCAUUCCACCAUUGAAAAUUGACAAAAAAAAAAAGAAAUUUCUUUUUUCGACCAAAGUCGGGAAAAAUGAAGAAAUUACGCUUACGUCCUAUUGUUCGAUUUGAUCGCUAGUACUUUUGUUUCAACAUUAAACAACCAAAAGGUUGUUCUAAUAACUAAAUUAAAGUGUAUUUUGAGUUCAAUUGACUUUUUGUGAACGAAUUACGACGAUUCGUGUUUUCGGCCUGAUUUUUAGCUGCACAAAAAACUGUUUCCGAUCAGAUUUUUUUCGAUGUCAUAAUAAUCGUAUCGAAAUUCUGGUUCGUUUCAUAUAAUUGUUUUUAGAUAUCUUGAUUUCGGAGCACUCCCUCCAAUCCAUUCGGUUACUCAUAAUUGUACCGAAAAUCAAGUUAAACCCCUAAUCUUUUGAAUAUUUCAAUUACACUUCCAAAUAAAACUACACUUAAAAGCAUAUGAAAUUAUCUUCAUUCCACCAUUGAAAAUUGACAAAAAAAAAAAGAAAUUUCUUUUUUCGACCAAAGUCGGGAAAAAUGAAGAAAUUACGCUUACGUCCUAUUGUUCGAUUUGAUCGCUAGUACUUUUGUUUCAACAUUAAACAAUCAAAAGGUUGUUCUAAUAACUAAAUUAAAGUGUAUUUUGAGUUCAAUUGACUUUUUGUGAACGAAUUACGACGAUUCGUCUUUUCGGCCUGAUUUUUAGCUGCACAAAAAACUGUUUCCGAUCAGAUUUUUUUCGAUGUCAUAAUAAUCGUAUCGAAAUUCUGGUUCGUUUCAUAUAAUUGUUUUUAGAUAUCUUGAUUUCGGAGCACUCCCUCCAAUCCAUUCGGUUACUCAUAAUUGUACCGAAAAUCAAGUUAAACCCCUAAUCUUUUGAAUAUUUCAAUUACACUUCCAAAUAAAACUACACUUAAAACCAUAUGAAAUUAUCUUCAUUCCACCAUUGAAAAUUGACAAAAAAAAAAAGAAAUUUCUUUUUUCGACCAAAGUCGGGAAAAAUGAAGAAAUUACGCUUACGUCCUAUUGUUCGAUUUGAUCGCUAGUACUUUUGUUUCAACAUUAAACAAUCAAAAGGUUGUUCUAAUAACUAAAUUAAAGUGUAUUUUGAGUUCAAUUGACUUUUUGUGAACGAAUUACGACGAUUCGUCUUUUCGGCCUGAUUUUUAGCUGCACAAAAAACUGUUUCCGAUCAGAUUUUUUUCGAUGUCAUAAUAAUCGUAUCGAAAUUCUGGUUCGUUUCAUAUAAUUGUUUUUAGAUAUCUUGAUUUCGGAGCACUCCCUCCAAUCCAUUCGGUUACUCAUAAUUGUACCGAAAAUCAAGUUAAACCCCUAAUCUUUUGAAUAUUUCAAUUACACUUCCAAAUAAAACUACACUUAAAACCAUAUGAAAUUAUCUUCAUUCCACCAUUGAAAAUUGACAAAAAAAAAAAGAAAUUUCUUUUUUCGACCAAAGUCGGGAAAAAUGAAGAAAUUACGCUUACGUCCUAUUGUUCGAUUUGAUCGCUAGUACUUUUGUUUCAACAUUAAACAACCAAAAGGUUGUUCUAAUAACUAAAUUAAAGUGUAUUUUGAGUUCAAUUGACUUUUUGUGAACGAAUUACGACGAUUCGUGUUUUCGGCCUGAUUUUUAGCUGCACAAAAAACUGUUUCCGAUCAGAUUUUUUUCGAUGUCAUAAUAAUCGUAUCGAAAUUCUGGUUCGUUUCAUAUAAUUGUUUUUAGAUAUCUUGAUUUCGGAGCACUCCCUCCAAUCCAUUCGGUUACUCAUAAUUGUACCGAAAAUCAAGUUAAACCCCUAAUCUUUUGAAUAUUUCAAUUACACUUCCAAAUAAAACUACACUUAAAAGCAUAUGAAAUUAUCUUCAUUCCACCAUUGAAAAUUGACAAAAAAAAAAAGAAAUUUCUUUUUUCGACCAAAGUCGGGAAAAAUGAAGAAAUUACGCUUACGUCCUAUUGUUCGAUUUGAUCGCUAGUACUUUUGUUUCAACAUUAAACAAUCAAAAGGUUGUUCUAAUAACUAAAUUAAAGUGUAUUUUGAGUUCAAUUGACUUUUUGUGAACGAAUUACGACGAUUCGUCUUUUCGGCCUGAUUUUUAGCUGCACAAAAAACUGUUUCCGAUCAGAUUUUUUUCGAUGUCAUAAUAAUCGUAUCGAAAUUCUGGUUCGUUUCAUAUAAUUGUUUUUAGAUAUCUUGAUUUCGGAGCACUCCCUCCAAUCCAUUCGGUUACUCAUAAUUGUACCGAAAAUCAAGUUAAACCCCUAAUCUUUUGAAUAUUUCAAUUACACUUCCAAAUAAAACUACACUUAAAAGCAUAUGAAAUUAUCUUCAUUCCACCAUUGAAAAUUGACAAAAAAAAAAAGAAAUUUCUUUUUUCGACCAAAGUCGGGAAAAAUGAAGAAAUUACGCUUACGUCCUAUUGUUCGAUUUGAUCGCUAGUACUUUUGUUUCAACAUUAAACAAUCAAAAGGUUGUUCUAAUAACUAAAUUAAAGUGUAUUUUGAGUUCAAUUGACUUUUUGUGAACGAAUUACGACGAUUCGUCUUUUCGGCCUGAUUUUUAGCUGCACAAAAAACUGUUUCUGAUCAGAUUUUUUUCGAUGUCAUAAUAAUCGUAUCGAAAUUCUGGUUCGUUUCAUAUAAUUGUUUUUAGAUAUCUUGAUUUCGGAGCACUCCCUCCAAUCCAUUCGGUUACCCAUUG